rnacentral:SRP_RNA from 1 species
CCGUGCUAGGCGGGGUGCUAGCGGUGCCCUGUACCCGCAAUCCGCUCUAGCGGGGCUGAAUUCCCUCUCGAGGGGUUGGAGGCCCGGGGUCAGCGCCCCCCUCGUGGCGGCGAUGGUCCGGUCCCUCGGCGAUGAAGGCCCGUGAACCAGGUCAGGUCCGGAAGGAAGCAGCCUUAAGCGGUCACCUCCAGGCGCAGGGGGAGCGCCGGACCGGAGCCACGAAGCGGCGGCCGCGCUCCGAGCCCGGCUUCGACGGAGGGUGCACGG